rnacentral:siRNA from 1 species
AAUAGGUGAAUGUACCAUAUGACC